UGAAAGCGUGCCUCUGGUGGGGCUGAGUUGGUAAACACCAGCAGGGGCAUUGACCAACUGUUGUGACUGUGAAUCUACUGCUCUUGGAGUUUUGUCAGCGAGGCGGCAGUGUGUGGCUGCUGCCUGCCAUCAGGUGCCUUGCACUGAGGUCAGACUGCAAAGGGAAGCUAAGGGUGCAGGCACUUAGUGACCUUUUUUGUCACUGAAGGAAUUUCUGCAGGGCCCGCUUAGAGCUGGGAAGGUGUCUUUUCCAUCCAGGCUCAGCCCACACUGUCAUAAUGAUCUCCUGAUAUUGGCACAGCCACCAUGAGCUCUGCGGUUUGUUAUUGUGCUGCUGUGACACCGAAAAACACCAACUCUGGAGAAGAAUGGCAACUUUUCUUCUGCCUUGAGAGACAAGAAUAUCUGGAGGGGUUUCUCUGGAGGACCUCAGGAAAGUGGCAACAGGGAGGCAGAUGUGUGCCUCAGCACUUCAGUUAUAUACAUGUGUUGAGUCCUUUGGAUGAGAAAAGACAACCAUGAGAUGUGGAAAGGGGAACAGUGAGCACAAAGGUAAUUCUCUGGCUGGGAUUUGACACUCAGUUUCUUGCUGCGGUAUAGAGAUUCUCUUUCAAAAGUAGAGAGACAUUAUUUUUGACUAUUUAAAAGAAUUUACCAUAGUUAAGUUUAUCCCCCUGCUGUGUUUUAAUCAGGCAUCCUGAUGUAAACUUUGCUGUACAUCCUGAUGUAAACUUUGCUGUACAUCCUAAGUGCACUGCAGUGUGUUGCGUUGGUUGAACUUACGUGAUGAGAUCCUGUUGUCAUAGGAAAUACUGUUUGCAGUCCAAAACUAAAAGCAUUGCAUUCAUCCAGUUCCAUUAGUGAGCAAAGAAGAACUUCUCUGCAGAAGCUGAACUUCCACAAUCAAACACAAAAGUAGUAAUUUCAAGCCAAUGAACAUGGGUGAUCCUAUUUGCUUGCAGAAGGUUCCACAGACAGAAAGGUAUAGAGGUAUUUUGUGACUAAAUUACUUAUUGCUUGGUCAUUUGCUUAGCAGUGUUGCUAACCAACCAGGGCUACCUUUGUAGAAGCUAGGAAGAUGUUGCCAACAUUUUUGGCACAAGGUCUCCAUGUUAGUUCUGUUCUAUACUGUACUGCUUUUAUUUCAUACCCUACGUUCCCUCUGAACCCAUGUUUUCACAGCUCCAGUAGCUGGGACUUAGUGCAAGAAGUUGGUAAUAACACCGUGGAUGAACCUGCCCUCUCAGCAAGGGGAUUGAUGUGAAUCACCAAGUCUGCAUCUCCCUGGGUCAUGAGUGUACAGCCCUGCAUGGAGGGACUCGUCUUACUCAACUUCAGAAACCUUUUUCCAUGCUAAUCAUCUUGGUUGUUUCAUAGUUCAGGAAAGUAACAGGUCUUGCAUGUAUGUAGCAGGCACUUGCCUCAUCUGUAUCUUCCCAUAGAGUCUUGUAGGUCUCCUUGCUGGUGCCACCUUAUCUGCAGUUUACUGGGGAUACUGCAACAGUGUGUUCUCCCCUCCCUCCUUUCGUUCUCCCAACUUCAUCCUUCAGCCUGGCUUUGCACACAAGGCCUCACACAGGACGACAAUGAGCAACAGUACUGAUAACACUCUUGCUAAAACAGAUUAACUGCCUCAAAUCUGUCCCGAACUGGGGGACUGAAAGAACUGAUAGCAGGCACCUGGUUCAGCAGCUGAGGGCCAUAUGAGCAUGUCCCUAAAAACAGAGUAUGAAUAUGAGUCAGCCACCUUACUCUGUAAAUAGGGAGCAGCAGAAGAGCCCCUUGAGCUCUGCUACAUAACAGCUAGCUGCACAACAGGAUUUCCUCUUGAGCCAUCUCUUGAGGUUACAUCUGUGCAGAGAUCCCUUACACCUUGACGUCAAGGUGCCUUGCCAGUACAAUUCUCGGUAAGUGACUAAUUGUUUUAAGCUUUGUUGGCUCUGCUAAGAUUAUAUCUUAGAUUGAUGGUAAGCUUUUUUUUAGCUUCACUGAGACAGUGUCUUGGAUUGUUUGUGCACAAAUGAUCAACAAAUGUUGACCAAGUUUGGGACUGGGAGUGGAUCCGGCCGCACCUAGGCCCCUUACUUUCAUGGUUCAAGGAGUUUAGAAUGCACUCUAAAUCUCAUGACUCAAUGGGAGGGUCUUCUGUAUGUGUGUGUUUAACCCUACCCUCUAUGCAGUAUAUCAUCAAGUGUAUCCAGCCCAGCCAUCUCAGAUCUUUUUCUGUAAUUGUUAAAUCACUAUGUUAUAUCUGUAUUAUAUCAAUAAAUAUAUUUCUGCUUCUCUCUUAUGAGUGAAGUGUAUAAUGAAGUCAUUUCUAUCCAUGACAGACACCCACCCCCUAAAGGAUGCACGAAGCUCCUUGGUCAUUGAAGCGUAGUCAGGAGCAAUUCAGAUUUGCAUCUCAAGACGUCAUUGCUGGGACAUCCUGGGCUGAGGCACUUCAUAUGGAAUCUGCUUUGGUAUGUACUCUGUGCUAUUUCAUAGACUUCUAGAUUCUAUAUUAGUGCAUUAACCCUUUUUUGUCCAGAGUCUGAUAAUGGUAAGUCUUCAUUCUUAAUAGGCCUACUCUGUUGUCCAGGCUUUGGGCUAUUUAGAACUUACACCCUGCGUUAUUUCAUGAACACCUGCAGUCUCUUGGUACUCUUAAAGUGCAUUUUUGACUGCAGAAUUUACUAGAAUGGCAAAGCGAUUUUCUGCCCAGCUUUUUUUUUUUUGUGAAAUUGGGUUGUUGUUCUUACUGAUAAUCUUGCUGUUGUUUUCGUCUUACCCUGUUUACUUAAUACUCCUUCUGUGGGCAGUUUCAUGCGCUAGCCUAGAUGAUGCAGGAAUUGUAAUGCAUCUGCUGAGGUGUGUUGUUACACCAGUUUAUGUGGCCAAGGAGAUGAAUUGAUUAUUGAACACUUAGGUCUCAUUUGAAAGAACGUUAUGGCAGGGCUGAGGAGUCACUGAACAGAUACUGGGCUGAAAUUAAGGGAUAGAAGACUUUCCUGAUUCAUGAUCUCAUAAACAUCUACUGGGAAGGCAAGGUAAACCCAGAGGAAUGGCUUUUCAAGCCAUGGCUUGAAAAAAUUCACAACAAGAGUGGUUGUGAGGCUCAAAGUGUGGCUGAUUCAUGGAAUGGAGAAGGGGGAAUGAAGAAU
ensembl:lncRNA